rnacentral:lncRNA from 1 species
CGUUAUUUGUAUUGUUAUUAGUCAUGUUCCGGAUUUGAAUCCUUAUUUCAAAAUUCGGGGUGUGACAAUUAGAUCGGAGGAAGGAGGAGGAAGAAGAAGAACAGGUAUUUGGGUAUUGAUUGUGGGGGCAAAACGGAGACCGGCUCAACAAAAAUCUAAAGUCACUGAGGUCGCGGUCGAUGGCGUCGUUUCGGGGAGCGAAGAUGGUGAUGUUGUGGCGGCCGACGGCCUCUUCGAGAGUCCGCAAGAGCAAGGCCUUCUCAACGAGCUCGGCCAAAUCAGAGUAAUGCGAGUCGAGAAGGGCCACCAGGACAGAGUUGGAGUUGAUCUAAGCGGUGGACGCAGAGGAGGAUGAGGAGGAGGGCUUCUGAGGAUAUUCGGGCAAUGCGAAGCAGGUUUCGGCGAAGAAGAGGAGGAGGAGGAGAGAUGAGAGAGGAGAGAGGAGAGAGGCGAGAGCCAAUGCGGUGGAUUCAGAGAGAGAAAGGGAAGAAGAAGGAGAAGGAGGAGG